UUUGAUUAAUUUUUUCCAUAGAAAAUUUGGAGUACAGUAGAUAUAAUGCAAAAAUAAAAUAAGAAUGGGUUUGCAACAGUACUUAUAGUAAGGAUUGGUUUUGUUAUACUAACGGAUCUCACAAAGGUUUUGUUUGAGUUUUGUGUGAUUGAAGUUUUCAAGUUUCGGUUGAGAUCAUGACGGAUGAAGGGAUAAGGAAUACAAAAUCCUAAGCUUGGGGAUGCUUUCUAAACCCCAAGAUAAUAUUCAAGAAGUAUCAAGCAACUAAGCUUGGGGAUUCCCCGAGUGGCAUCCCCUCUUUCUUCUAACGACCAUCGGUAUUCUACUUGAAACUAUAUUUUUAUUCGUCACAUAUUAUGUGUUUUACUUG
rnacentral:lncRNA from 1 species